rnacentral:rRNA from 1 species
UACGUAGGGUGCGAGCGUUGUCCGGAAUUAUUGGGCGUAAAGAGCUCGUAGGCGGUGUGUCGCGUCGGUCGUGAAAACUUGGGGCUUAACUCUGAGCUUGCGGUCGAUACGGGCAUCACUGGAGUUCGGCAGGGGAGACUGGAAUUCCUUGUGUAGCGGUGAAAUGCGCAGAUAUCAGGAGGAACACCGGUGGCGAAGGCGGGUCUCUGGGCCGAUACUGACGCUGAGGAGCGAAAGCGUGGGGAGCGAACAGG